AUACGUAGGUGACAAGCGUUAUCCGGAUUUACUGGGCGUAAAGGGCGUGUAGGCGGUCUUGCAAGUCAGAAGUGAAAUUCCUGAGCUCAACUCGGGCGCUGCUUCUGAAACUGCAGGACUUGAGUGCUGGAGGGGAUAGCGGAAUUCCUAGUGUAGCGGUGAAAUGCGUAGAGAUUAGGAAGAACACCAGUGGCGAAGGCGGCUUUCUGGACGGUAACUGACGCUGAGGCACGAAAGCGUGGGGAGAAAACAGGAUUAGAUACCCUGGUAGUCCACGCCGUAAACGAUGGGUACUAGGUGUCGGGGGUCCAACCUCGGUGCCGCAGUAAACACAUUAAGUACCCCGCCUGGGGAGUACGGUCGCAAGAUUAAAACUCAAAUGAAUUGACGGGG
rnacentral:rRNA from 1 species